UAGCGAUAGCUAAUUGCAAAUAUCGACUCUGUCGAAUAAAAUUCUAGGUAGAAUUAUGAUAAUGACAUUGUCUGCCUAUGUGUCUUGACCAAAUUACGUGCCAGCAGUCGCGGUAAUACGUAGAAGACUAGUGUUAUUCAUCUUUAAUUGGUUUAAAGGGUACCUAGACGGUAAAUCAAGCACUAAUUUACUAGAGUUACUUAUGAGGGGGUAUUAAAGUACUGCUGGUGUAGAGAUAAAAUUCUAUGAUACCUCUUUUCGAUGGCACAGGUAUAGGCGAAAGCAUCCUCUUAUGUGAUAACUGACGUUGAAGGACGAAGGCUUCGUGUGCGAACAGGAUUAGAUACCCCAGUAC
rnacentral:rRNA from 1 species